CGAUGAUACGCGAGGAACCUUACCUGGGCUCGAACGUAAGAUGACUGUAGGUGAAAGCUUACAUCUCUUCGGAGCAUUUACGAGGUGCUGCAUGGUUGUCGUCAGCUCGUGCCGUGAGGUGUCGGGUUAAGUCCCAUAACGAGCGCAACCCCUACCUUUAGUUGCCAUCAGGUUAAGCUGGGGACUCUAAAGGAACUGCCUACGCAAGUAGUGAGGAAGGCGGGGAGUGACGUCAAAUCAGCACGGCCCUUACGUCCAGGGCUACACACGUGCUACAAUGGCCGAUACAGAGGGCAGCUACCUGGUGACAGGAUGCAAAUCUCCAAAGUCGGUCUCAGUUCGGAUCGGAGUCUGCAACCCGACUCCGUGAAGUUGGAUUCGCUAGUAAUCGCGCAUCAGCCAUGGCGCGGUGAAUACGUUCCCGGGCCUU
rnacentral:rRNA from 1 species